GUUCUUCUCUUCCUUCCCUGUCCUUCUUUGGCUUUGCUACCUCUCUUCCCUUCCCAUUGUUUUUCCUCCCCCCUCCUAGGUUCUCACAUCGCUUUCCUGUUUCCCUCUCCUGCAAUAUGGAUUUGACAUAUUAAUCAUUACAGCAACUGCUAAAAUUCCACUGUGCUUCAUUAAUCCGGAGGAAAAUACCAUGUCAGCUGAGCUCAGAGACAGCGUCUAAGAGGGCGGCUGACAAUCUGCCUCAAACACAAACACAUGACAAAUAUAGUUCUGCAGUGAAGACUUUAGCCCCACGGGGAAAGCUGAGACUCAGGAGCCUGAUGGCAUAAACAAGGCGAAAGGCUUGGUAGCAAAUCAGAAGACUUGUUUUUGGAAGCUGAAAACUUACUUCGGCAACAACAGUCCUCCAUGGCUCCCUGUUUGUGCUCUUGCUGGCCAGGCCUGGGAAGCCCUCUUGGGGCCUCUGAGGCUUGUAACCAGCCCUGCUUAGGAACUUACUGUGUCUCUGUUUGAUUGAGCCUGGGCAUGAGAUAAAACACGAGGUCAUCUGCAAUGGCACUGGUGCUGUGGCUGUAUCAGCAUGGCUCUGAUGUCCCUUCGGGGCAGGCAACAGUUCAGGGAGGACUUACAAGCAAGCUCUGGAACUUGAAGUCUCAAGAGAUGACAAAUAGUCAAUUCUCAAAAAAUGAAGAAAAGAAAAACUUGUUUCUUCAUGUUUGCUAACCCUAUCUAUAUCUAUGGUUUUGGCCAAUAAAUUCACUGUGUUUA
rnacentral:lncRNA from 1 species